CUACGGGAGGCAGCAGUGAGGAAUUUUGGACAAUGGGGGCAACCCUGAUCCAGCGACGCCGCGUGAAGGAUGAAGGUCUUCGGAUUGUAAACUUCUUUUAUUUGGGACUAAGAAACUUGUGGAAACACAGGGAGUGAAUGUACCAAGUGAAUAAGCCACGGCUAACUUCGUGCCAGCAGCCGCGGUAAUACGAAGGUGGCAAGCGUUACUCGGAAUUACUAGGCGUAAAGGGCAGGUAGGUGGUUUGGUAAGUCUGUUGUGAAAGCUCCCGGCUCAACUGGGAGAGGUCAACGGAUACUGCUGAACUUGAGUAUAGGAGAGGUUACUGGAAUUCCCGGUGUAGCGGUGAAAUGCGCAGAGAUCGGGAGGAACACCAAUGGCGAAAGCAGGUAACUGGACUAUUACUGACACUCAGCUGCGAAAGCUAGGGGAGCAAACAGGAUUGGAUACCCUGGUAGC
rnacentral:rRNA from 1 species